GAUGAACGCUGGCGGCGUGCCUAAUACAUGCAAGUCGAGCGAACGGACGAGAAGCUUGCUUCUCUGAUGUUAGCGGCGGACGGGUGAGUAACACGUGGAUAACCUACCUAUAAGACUGGGAUAACUUCGGGAAACCGGAGCUAAUACCGGAUAAUAUUUUGAACCGCAUGGUUCAAAAGUGAAAGACGGUCUUGCUGUCACUUAUAGAUGGAUCCGCGCUGCAUUAGCUAGUUGGUAAGGUAACGGCUUACCAAGGCAACGAUGCAUAGCCGACCUGAGAGGGUGAUCGGCCACACUGGAACUGAGACACGGUCCAGACUCCUACGGGAGGCAGCAGUAGGGAAUCUGCCGCAAUGGGCGAAAGCCUGACGGAGCAACGCCGCGUGAGUGAUGAAGGUCUUCGGAUCGUAAAACUCUGUUAUUAGGGAAGAACAUAUGUGUAAGUAAAUGUGCACAUCUUGACGGUACCUAAUCAGAAAGCCACGGCUAACUACGUG
rnacentral:rRNA from 1 species